CCUACGGGAGGCAGCAGUGAGGAAUAUUGGUCAAUGGCCGUAAGGCUGAACCAGCCAAGUCGCGUGAAGGAAGAAGGAUCUAUGGUUUGUAAACUUCUUUUAUAGGGGAAUAAAGGUAUCCACGUGUGGAUCUUUGCAUGUACCCUAUGAAUAAGCAUCGGCUAACUCCGUGCCAGCAGCCGCGGUAAUACGGAGGAUGCGAGCGUUAUCCGGAUUUAUUGGGUUUAAAGGGUGCGUAGGUUGUUUUUUAAGUCAGCGGUGAAAGUUUGUGGCUCAACCAUAAAAUUGCCGUUGAAACUGGAAGACUUGAGUGUGUUUGAGGUAGGCGGAAUGCGUGGUGUAGCGGUGAAAUGCAUAGAUAUAACGCAGAACUCCGAUUGCGAAGGCAGCUUACUAAGCCAUAACUGACACUGAAGCACGAAAGCGUGGGGAUCAAACAGGAUUAGAUACCCCGGUAGUC
rnacentral:rRNA from 1 species